rnacentral:rRNA from 1 species
GACGAACCGUGCGAACGUUAUUCGGAAUCACUGGGCUUAAAGCGCGUGUAGGCGGGCCGGCACGUCGGUCGUUGAAAUCCCCCGGCUCAACCGGGGAAGCGGCGCCGAUACGACCGGCCUCGAGGGACGUAGGGGGGGCUGGAACUUCCGGUGGAGCGGUGAAAUGCGUUGAGAUCGGAAGGAACGCCCGUGGCGAAAGCGAGCCCCUGGACGUCUACUGACGCUGAGACGCGAAAGCGUGGGGAGCAAACAGG